rnacentral:pre_miRNA from 1 species
AGCACAAACUUGAAGCAGAGUAGAUCAGUAGGAUCAGCUGACCAUACUCAACUAUUCUACUUCAAGUUUGUGCCC